UUAACGCUUUUGUAAUUAUCCAUAAUCUUUAAUAAUUUAGAUCAAAACUUUUGGAAAAUUAUUAAUUAUUAAUUCCAUUUUUUUUCUUACUUUUCUUCCUUAAAAUAAAUAAAUAGUAAGUGGUUGGCGAAGUGGAUUAUGUGGAAGGAAGAGAAGUGGCAUGCGAUGAGGUGAUGACGUGGCAGUUACUUUUCCUUAUUUUCUUCAGUGUUAUUAGGCCGGGUUAGGUGACUCAACUUUUUCUUAUUUAGUUCCCCUUGCUUUUAAACUCUCGUCUUCAGUUCAUUUCAUUUCAUUUUAUUUUCUCUCUCGCCGAAUCAAUCCAUCUCAUUGUCUCCUCUCUUCAGCGCUCACUCUUCAGGUAAUCCUUUUUUUUUUCCCCCAAUUUCUUGUAUUUUCUAUUUAAAUUUUUAAAAUUGAUCGUAAAUAGAGCUUGAAAAAUUUAUACGGCCAAACAUAAUGUGAUCGUUUUGGGUUUUGCUUAUUCGGGCAACCAUUAGGGCAAAACAGAAACUUCCAUUUUAAUUGAGUGCUUAUUGUCUAAGGUGAGAAACAAGCAGAAGAUCUUUUUUGAUUUUCUGUACCUAAAUUCUCUGAAUAAACAGUGGGGCCCACCAGUAGGGACGGUUUCUGUUUUCAUAGUCUCUCAUCGAGUCGCGUGCUUUGCCAGAAAUUUUGACCUUUGAAGAUCUGUGAUGUUGACGCGUGUCCUUGAUUAUUCGCGGUUUUGACGUACUAACAUUUGGAAAUUUUGCAGACCAGUCCAAUCCGGUCGAACCGAACCGGGUUCACCCUUGUGCAGCGGAGUGAACUGUGAGGGAGGAAAAGACGUACGUUGUCAGACGAUGAUAAUCAACCUACCGCGUCUGGUUGCCGGAUCUGCUCGCGAUCGACGUUUGGCUGCUGCUUGUGCUGUUGGAACUGCUGGAAUUGCUCGCGUUUAGCUGCUGCUUGUGCUCGCUUUUGGCUGCUGAUCCUGCCUGUUGAAUCUUGCGUUUGGCUGCUGCUUGUGCUCGCGUUUGGCUGCUGCUUGUGCUCGCGUUUGGCUGCUACUUGUGCUCGCUUUUGGCUGCUGCUUGUGCUCGCGUUUGGUUGCUGAUCCUGCCUGUUGAAUCUCGCAUUUGGCUGCUGCUUGUGC
rnacentral:lncRNA from 1 species